UCCCAGGUGGCUCAGUGGUAAAGAAUCUGCCUGACAAGCAGGAGAUGCAGGUUCAAUCCCUGGGUCAGGAA
rfam:TPA: Bos taurus chromosome 8, whole genome shotgun sequence.